rnacentral:rRNA from 1 species
AUUGAACGCUGGCGGCAGGCCUAACACAUGCAAGUCGAGCGGAUGAAGGGAGCUUGCUCCUGGAUUCAGCGGCGGACGGGUGAGUAAUGCCUAGGAAUCUGCCUGGUAGUGGGGGAUAACGUCCGGAAACGGGCGCUAAUACCGCAUACGUCCUGAGGGAGAAAGUGGGGGAUCUUCGGACCUCACGCUAUCAGAUGAGCCUAGGUCGGAUUAGCUAGUUGGUGGGGUAAAGGCCUACCAAGGCGACGAUCCGUAACUGGUCUGAGAGGAUGAUCAGUCACACUAGAACUGAGACACGGUCCAGACUCCUACGGGAGGCAGCAGUGGGGAAUAUUGGACAAUGGGCGAAAGCCUGAUCCAGCCAUGCCGCGUGUGUGAAGAAGGUCUUCGGAUUGUAAAGCACUUUAAGUUGGGAGGAAGGGCAGUAAGUUAAUACCUUGCUGUUUUGACGUUACCAGCAGAAUAAGCACCGGCUAACUUCGUG